rnacentral:lncRNA from 1 species
UUUGUCCUACAAAAGGUUCCAUCAAAACCCUAGAUAACAAAUUAGCUAUUCAUAAUAGUAUGUAAAUCUGCAAUAUUAAAAGUCAUAACCAACAAUGAAAAAAUAUAACAUUAGAAAGAGGAAGUAAAAACUCGUAGUAGGAUUCCCUGCCUUGCUCCUAUUGUAUCUUUGUUUCCUUCGGUCGAAUCUGUGUUAAAAAUUUGUAUCCUCCCUCAAAAAUACCGUUUUUCCAUGUAUAUAUACCAAGUAGGAUCGGACCCAAAUACUUAUAC